rnacentral:rRNA from 1 species
ACGCGUAGGCGGCCUGUUAAGUCAGGUGUGAAAGCCCGGGCUCAACCUGGGAAUUGCAUUUGAUACUGGCGAGCCAGAGUCUGAUAGAGGGGGUGGAAUUCCAGGUGUAGCGGUGAAAUGCGUAGAUAUCUGGAGGAACAUCAGUGGCGAAGGCGGCCCCUGGAUCGAGACUGACGCUGAGGUGCGAAAGCGUGGGGAGCAAACA